rnacentral:rRNA from 1 species
AGAGUUUGAUCCUGGCUCAGGACGAACGCUGGCGGCGUGCCUAACACAUGCAAGUCGAGCGGAGACAGUGAGUAGCUUGCUAUGAGCUGUUUUAGCGGCGGACGGGUGAGUAACGCGUGAGCAACCUUUCCCAGACAGGGGAAUAACACACCGAAAGGUGUACUAAUACCGCAUAAGACCACGGGAUCACAUGGUUCUGAGGUAAAAGAUUUAUCGGUUUGGGGUGGGCUCGCGUCCGAUUAGGUAGUUGGUGAGGUAACGGCCCACCAAGCCGACGAUCCAUAGCCGGCCUGAGAGGGUGAACGGCCACAUUGGGACUGAGACACGGCCCAAACUCCUACGGGAGGCAGCAGUGGGGAAUAUUGCACAAUGGGGGAAACCCUGAUGCAGCGACGCCGCGUGGAGGAAGAAGGUCUUCGGAUUGUAAACUCCUGUUGUUGAGGAAGAUAAUGACGGUACUCAACAAGGAAGUGACGGCUAACUACGUGCCAGCAGCCGCGGUAAAACGUAGGUCACAAGCGUUGUCCGGAAUUACUGGGUGUAAAGGGAGCGCAGGCGGGAAGACAAGUUGGAAGUGAAAUCCAUGGGCUCAACCCAUGAACUGCUUUCAAAACUGUUUUUCUUGAGUAGUGCAGAGGUAGGCGGAAUUCCCGGUGUAGCGGUGGAAUGCGUAGAUAUCGGGAGGAACACCAGUGGCGAAGGCGGCCUACUGGGCACCAACUGACGCUGAGGCUCGAAAGUGUGGGUAGCAAACAGAAUUAGAUACCCUGGUAGUCCACACCGUAAACGAUGAUUACAAGGUGUUGGAGGAUUGACCCCUUCAGUGCCGCAGUUAACACAAAUAAGUAAUCCCCCUGGGGGAGUACGAUCGCAAGGUUGAAAACUCAAAGGAAUUGACGGGGGCCCGCACAAGCGGUGGAUUAUGUGGUUAAAUUCGAAGCAACGGGAAGAACCUUACCAGGUCUUGACAUCCUGCUAACGAAGUAGAGAUACAUUAGGUGCCCUUCGGGGAAAGCAGAGACAGGUGGUGCAUGGUUGUCGUCAGCUCGUGUCGUGAGAUGUUGGGUUAAGUCCCGCAACGAGCGCAACCCCUAUUGUUAGUUGCUACGCAAGAGCACUCUAGCGAGACUGCCGUUGACAAAACGGAGGAAGGUGGGGACGACGUCAAAUCAUCAUGCCCCUUAUGACCUGGGCUACACACGUAAUACAAUGGCGGUCAACAAAGGGAUGCAAAGCCGCGAGGCAGAGCGAACCCCAAAAAGCCGUCCCAGUUCGGAUCGCAGGCUGCAACCCGCCUGCGUGAAGUCGGAAUCGCUAGUAAUCGUGGGUCAGCAUACCACGGUGAAUACGUUCCCGGGCCUUGCACUCACCGCCCGUCA